AUAGUUUUUGCUGUUUACAUUCCUUUCUUUAUAAAAAAAUACACCAUAAGAGUGUUUAUUUACUUGAUUAAGGGAAAUCUGCGAAAUUUUCUUGAAAAUUCUUUAAGCAGUUAAAAAUAUGAUGAGCCUAACUGAGAGAAAUAUGAUUGUUAUAUACUGUGUACUAGGCUUGAUAAGCCUUGUGACUCCUGCUGCUAUCAACAAUACUGGGCUGGUGGUUGAUGAUAUUCCAUCGGCGCUCUUGGACUUAUCUGAAGACUUGUCCUCAUUGUAUGACAAUAAGGAUAGUGACAGAUACAUGCCUCUUGGGGCUGCUGGUUUAUUGUACCUUGAACCACAAUUGGCACUAUUCCUAACCAUCAUUGUAAUUAAUCAAGUGAUGGCAAUGAUUCAAUAGUGGGAUUGAACAUAAGUUUUACAAAAAUUCAAAGUUCAUCCCUAAAACAUUCAUUUAGAAGUAUUUUAAUAAAUUAUGUUUUUACUCUCUAA